rnacentral:rRNA from 1 species
AGUGAACGCUGGCGGUAGGCCUAACACAUGCAAGUCGAACGGCAGCACAGUAAGAGCUUGCUCUUACGGGUGGCGAGUGGCGGACGGGUGAGGAAUACAUCGGAAUCUACUUUUUCGUGGGGGAUAACGUAGGGAAACUUACGCUAAUACCGCAUACGACCUACGGGUGAAAGCAGUGGAUCUUCGGACCUUGCGCGAUUGAAUGAGCCGAUGUCGGAUUAGCUAGUUGGCGGGGUAAAGGCCCACCAAGGCGACGAUCCGUAGCUGGUCUGAGAGGAUGAUAGGCCACACUGGAACUGAGACACGGUCAAGACUCCUACGGGAGGCAGCAGUGGGGAAUAUUGGACAAUGGGCGCAAGCCUGAUCCAGCCAUACCGCGUGGGUGAAGAAGGCCUUGGGGUUGUAAAGCCCUUUUGUUGGGAAAGAAAAGCAGCAGGUUAAUACCCCGCUGUUCUGACGGUACCCAAAAAAUAAGCACCGGCUAACUUCGUG